rnacentral:lncRNA from 1 species
GCGUUCUGCCAGUCACGCUGCCAAAGGCAGCUUGUGACCUCCCCUCACCCUGCGUCUCUGCGAGCUGCCCAAAGGCAGCUCCCUUCUCCUGCUCCCCGCCCGCGCUUUCUGCUGUGUCUCCUCACUUUUAUUCCUCUUCUAAGUGCCCUUUGCGCCUCCUCCAUCUUUAUUUUCUUAUUCUAUUUCCUCUCUCCCACCAGUCUGCCCGUGUCCUCCUCUUAUUCUUCUUUUAAUUUUUUUAUUCCUUCUUUUCUUUUUUUAUUCCUCCAUCAUUCCAUUCUUUAUUCCUUUUCUUUUGUUUUUGCCGUCCAACACUCUCCUAUAUUUCCCUUUUGUUAUUCUUCUCCAUCAUUCCAUGUCUCCCACUUCUUUGUCAUUUUUUUCAUUUUAUUCUCCCUUUUUCCAGCUGCAAAGCAGCUUCUUCUUUUUAUUUUUUAUUCUUUCCGUUUUCUCCCUCCUUUCACGCCUGCCUUCUUUCCCUCUCCCAAUUAUCCUGCUGUCCUCAUUAUUAUUUUUCCUUCUUUUUGUUCUCUUUUUGCUGAUCUCUCUUAGCUUUCUUUCUUCUCCUAGAAACACAAUAAAUCAAAAGUAUCAUAAAUACUUAAAACUUCCAACUAAAUUAGACAAGAAAAGAAAUAUAAAAGGAUGAAAUAUAUAGUUUAAAUAUUGGUUUAUCAUUUAUCGUCACAAUGGAUUAGCAAUAUUGUAAUUUAAAUUUGCUUUUGACGAAUUUAUUACAUAAAAUUUCACUUGUUCUAUUUUUAUUUUCUUUGCAUAACAAAUCCUAUAAACACAAAAAUAACGUAAAUAACUCAAAAAUAUAAGGAACUAACUAAGAAAAGACGAGUGAAUUCGAAGUAAAAAUAUAUAUAAAUAUGAUCUGAUCAAAUACCCCCACACUUAACUUUUGCUAGUCCUCGAGCAAAACCAAGAAAACUAGAAAAAGUACUAACAUGAAAAACAUUAGUUUCCCCCUAUGUGACCCUCAUAGAAUUUCAUUCAAGAAAACAAAUCAUCAAGAACCAUAGCUAGCAUCAAGGAACUAAUCCAAGUUCAUCUUCCUUAUUCAAAUAUUAGCAGUAAUCUUUGAAUCAUCCUUGAAGUGUAGUGUGUGAGAUAGCCAUACUAAUGCAAUUUCAAAAUUUUUAUAUUUUUAAAAUCAUCAUAUGCAAACUAGCGACAUUCUCACGGGAUAUGCACUCAAUCACACAUGUGUUUAGUUUUAAUGUGUUUCACUCAAAGAAUCAAAUGUGAAAUUUCUACCAUAAGCUUGCAUAAGGAUCACUUCUCCACAGUCAUAAUUGCAAAACUUAAAUCAAGAGGACUUUUAUUGGAUGUAAUGAGGCUUAGGGAUAGGGUUAUUGAAACGAAAGAAUAGGAAAACACAAGUUCCAAGCUACAUUGCAAGCAAUUCUUUUCUUUAGAUUUAUAAGAACUCAAGCUCUCCAAUGAUUCUUCUGACAUCUCCAACCACACCCUUAAACUGAAACUUUAAACUUUUUAUUUUCUUUGUAUACAAUCUUUCUUUUUACUUUUUUUUUUUUUUUUUUUUUUUUUUUUUUUUAAUCACAAACAUGAAAUACCCCCACACUUAUUCUUUUGCCAAACAUCUUCACAGUAUUUCACAAACGUAUCUCAUAAGACAAUUUCGCAUUGCUCGCUUGGAAAGGGUAAGGAAAAAUGUUUCAGGUAUAAGGGUAGACAUAUCUGAUGAUAAGAAAUAAAAGGCUCAACAUACACGGCUCAAAUUGGCAAUAUAAUGAUAUCAUUUUUCUUUGGGAAACAUGGUUAUUUGGGCCAUAGUGGUAAACCUAAUGCCUCUAUCAUUUCCAAAUUCAUGCAAUCAAUGACAAACAUUUCGAAAGAUCGUUACGCAAGUUCUAGAGAUGUAUAUCACAUAAGUUCAUCACACAUAAAAAAAUAGGAGUGUAUGAAAAAUGCACACACUUUCAAUAGGCUCAAAAACUCACAUAGGAUGUAUAUGGUCACUAAAUUCACAUAUGAAGCUUUAAGUCAUACUUUAGUUUCACAUUAACAAGGCUAUGUGCAUUUGGUUUUUCAAAGAUAGUCAAACAUGUACAAAACUAACAAGAGAAUAAGGAAUUUCACAAAACACAUGUUAACUAAGUUCUUGAUGAUCAUGGUUCGAAUUUGAUCCAAUUAUAUCAUUGAGUCGGGAAACUAACAAAAAUCUAAUUCAAAACAAUAAGGGAAACAAGACAAUUUUUUAUUUUUUAAAUUUUCCGAUUAUUUUUUUUUUUAUUUUUUUAUUUUUUUAUUUUUUUAUUUUUUAAAGAAAACAAAAAGCAACAACACAGAAACAAAUGAAAUUCUAGAGAUGUCUACCCCCACACUUAAACUUGACAUUGUCCCCAAUGUCAGAAAACACUAUAAUGCAAAAAAAAAAAAUAAAAAAAAAAUAAAUAAAUAAUAAGAAACAAAAUAACGCAAUUGGACUGAAAACUUCCCUAAUUUGCAGUAAAAUCAAGCGAUGACCCCCAAGCUAAAAUUCUGCAAUCAACUUCAAGGGUGGAAAUAACCAAAAGUUCCUGCAAAGAAAAGAAAUAAUUCAGUUAAGUAACGCAAGAAAAUAAAAUAAUAAUAAAAAAUAAAUAAAUAAAAAAAAUUGCAAACGAAAAAUUGAAAAUCACGAUAAAAGACAAUGAAAAGAACUAAUAAGUAGUCAUUGGUCGUGCUUGUUGAUUUUCCACAGCGUUCCUCUUGAACAGGGUGACACUUAGCUUUUUACUUGCAAGUGAUGAUUUUAUGCUAUUGUACGGCGAAGCUUUGCUCUUUGGUUAUGUUGCAGUUCCUUAUUUGUUCUCCAAGCAGAUGUGGCAGCUUCUCUAGUUCAGUUCGGACUCCUUGUGCUGGGUUGAUUGUACGAGCUGCAUUCUUCUCUGCUUGUUUCUUCAGCACGGCGGGCAGGCACGAGGUAGAGGUAUUGGUCUGUUUCUUUCUUCAAUCUUUCCAAGUGCCCACCUCUUGCUUUCUUUCUCCUUGUUCCUAGCUGAAUUGUCUCCACAUGCUUCGAGGUAUCAUUUUCACUUCCCUUACUGUCCCCCAGGCAGAUGUGGUAGACGAAGAGAAAGCAUAAAAUGAUGAAGAUGAGUACUCGAGAGCAAGGCUAGGUAAGCAAUCAGGAAGGGGUUCCAGGCAGUUGGCUCCAGAUCGGAAGAUUGAUACCAAAUGCUGGCUGAUUGCUCUCUUUCUCCUUGUCGGAAAACAAAGACAAGGAGAAGGACAUGGAGAAAGCAUGAUAUGAGAUACUCUUGCUUUCAACCUUUAUGAUAUGAAAUACUUUUGCUUUGAAUGGGUUGUUCGCAGGAGUAUCCCAAGGAAUGAGGAACACAGAGUGACUCGAGAGGAUUCUUUGGGAAUGCAUUUUCAGAUAUGAAGAAGUGUUGAAAGGGUGUGCUGAGAGAGUGUGCUUUUGCUGUGGAAGGCGAAGGUAGAAACUUAUAGGACUUGUCUUCACAACCGGAACUGUUCUCUCACUCAUUGUCGGCAGCCGGUGGAUGGAUGAAUAGUACAAAUUACGCGCUUUCUGACAAAGCUGCCCGUAAUUUCCGCAAAGCUGCCAGUUGCAUGUGACAAAUGCUGACUAGGCAGAGAGAGACAGAUGGUUGGAAUCGGCACUUCGACAGACUGCCCGUGAUUUUCGCAGAGCUGAGUUUGCGUGUGACGGGUGACAACACGUCUGGACGAAUUGAUCUUGCGAAAUCCGGGGUUCGGCUCGUGGUUUCUGAGCAAGCCCAACUUUUAAGAAAUGAACGCCUCUUUUGAGAAAAGAAUCCGACUUUUGAGAACGGAAACUCCUCUUUUGAGAAAAGAAUCCGGCUUUUGAGAAAGGUGCCCCGACUCUUCGAUUUGCGAAAGGACGCCUCUUCAAUUUCUGAGGAGCGCCUCUUUGAUUUCUUCUUUUUAUAGAGGCGUUAAUUUUGUUCCACAACACACUUGAGCUCCCUCCUGUAAACACCCCCCUCCUGUAAACUUCCAAAAUCUUAAUCAGUCCGACUCUCUUCUUUCUUCACCACCUUCAGAAAAUGUCUGGCCCUUCCGAUCGUCGUUUUGACUUGAACCGUGGUGAAGAGGCAGCUCCGCCUUCACCAGACAACAUAUGGCGCCCAUCUUUCAUAUCCCCUACCGGUCCUCUUACCGUUGGGGAUUCAGUGAUGAAAAAUGACAUGACUGCUGCGGUGGUGGCCCGGAACCUUGUCACCCCCAGAGAUAACAGACUGCUCGCUAGACGAUCUGAUGAAUUGGCGGUUAAGGAGUCUCUGGCUCUUAGCGUGCAGUGUGCCGGUUCCGUGUCCAACAUGGCCCAACGCCUAUUUGCCCGAACCCGUCACGUUGAAUCGCUGGUGGCUGAAAUACAAAGUCUCAAAGAGGAGAUUAAAGGACUCAAGCAUGAAAAUAAACAAUUGCACAAGCUCGCACACAGCUAUGCCACCAGCAUGAAGAGGAAGAUUGACCAGAUGCAGGACACCGAUGGUCAAAUUUUACUUGAUCAUCGGAGGUUUGUGGGUUUGUUCCAACAACAUCUGCCUUCGUCUUCUGGAGCGGCACCGCGUAGUGAAGCUCCAACUGAUCAACCUCUGCUGCCUCCUCCUUCUGUGGCCCCGCCGACUGCUGAAGCCCCGCCUACUACUGAAGCACCACCCGACCAAUGAAUACUAUUAGUUUACAUCAUUGUAAAAUAUUUGUACUUUUUUUUUUUUUUUAAUUUUUUUUUUUAUUUUUUUUUUUUUAUUUUUUUUUUUUUUUUAUGUAAAUUAAAGUAGAAAGACUUUGGUUAACCUUCCCCCAUACUUAAACUAAAUAACACAAACUCACAGAAAUCAAACAAAUAACAUAACUAACUAAACAAAACAAAAUGAAAGCAGUAAAGAUAAGGGUGUAAAAAUGCAAAUCUGAUUGGAUUAGCGAUUCCAAAGUCUCCCUUCGUUGAAUGCUUGGGUUGCCUCCCAAGAAGCGCUUGAUUUAACGUCUUUAGCCGGACGCAUCUUUCCUUUAAAUUUCCCUCAGCUCCAUUUGUGCCUAAAAUCAAAGAAAGAAAAAUAAAUCAAAUAUCAAAAGUAAAAUACACAAACACCAAUAUAAACAUAAACAAAAACAAAAAUAAAAUGAUUAGCAAAGUUACUAAUCCCCGGCAACGGCGCCAAAAUUUGAGGUGAAAAUUUACUUGACACACAAAUUAAACCCUCUUUUUAUCAAAUGUAGUAAAGUAUGUAAGUAGGGUAUCGUUCUAGGCCGGGGAUUAGGAGGGAUUGCUAAUCUAUUAAAUUAACUUAAAAAUAUUAAAUAAGACUCAAGGACACAAAACUAGGCUAAAAACUCUAAUAACUCGAAACACACUUAAAAUGACUCAAAAUAAUGAAAACAAUUAAAUUAAACACUAGGAACUGAAAUGGACGGAAAUUAAAUUAAAAGACUAACAAUAAAGAAAACUAACUAAAUAAUAUAAUUUAAUAAUGGAUGGGUGUUUGGUUUUGAUGAAAAGUAAAUUAAACUUAAUUAAAUUACAGAAUUGACAAAAACAUAAAAUUAAGGUAAAAUGAUAAAUGACGGACUAGCUAGAGGGUUCUUCUCCACACAUGUUAUACUUGCAUACAAAAUGAUUUCCAGUUGUUCUUUUAAUAAAUUGUAAAUUUCAAUACUCCAGAUUAACCGUGAACAGCACUUUUUUAAUCUUCAAGUUUUUCUUAAGUUAUUGAAUUGGACGGGAAAACGCAUACAACAAUUCAAAUUAUUCUCCAAAAGUCCCCUACGUGAAAAACACAAUAGAGAUACAAUCAAAGAUCAUUAAACUUUGUGAAAACUAUAAGCAUUGACGAGGCAUUCGUAACUAUGAAAAGCAUGAUACUCUUGCCAAGAAUUUACUUAACGUGAUUGUGACUAGCAACCUUUACUACUUGUGAAAAUAAGUUCAUAACGAUUAGGUGAAAUUCACUUAUAUUCUAGCAUCAAAUUCAUGCAUGUAAAUUAAGCGUGCACUCUCAACCAACAUACACAAAUCAGUUUUUAUACGAACGGAUAAGUAAAUUGAAUUCACAACUUAUAAAUCAUAACUGAAGGUAAUCAAUUCAUAUUACAAAUAUAUUCAUGGCUUUGAAUUAACCUCUAGCCAAAAUAAAAUUUAAUUACACAUUAUUAAAACAUUUAACCAAAAGUAAAAUAUAAGUUGGAACGUUUUAACCGAAAGAGGAGAAGCUUGCUGCUUCUGUUUCUGUCCGUGCUCUUUGAACCCCUGCUGAGGCUCACGCUGCUCCCGCCUUCUCUCUCUGUCCUCUCGCGCAAGGCAGCUCCUCGCAAGUCUUCGCGUUCUGCCAGUCACGCUGCCAAAGGCAGCUUGUGACCUCCCCUCACCCUGCGUCUCUGCGAGCUGCCCAAAGGCAGCUCCCUUCUCCUACUCCCCGCCCGCGCUUUCUGUUGUGUCUCCUCACUUUUAUUCCUCUUCUAAGUGCCCUUUGCGCCUCCUCCAUCUUUAUUUUCUUAUUCUAUUUCCUCUCUCCCACCAGUCUGCCCGUGUCCUCCUCUUAUUCUUCUUUUAAUUUUUUUAUUCCUUCUUUUCUUUUUUUUAUUCCUCCAUCAUUCCAUUCUUUAUUCCUUUUCUUUUGUUUUUGCCGUCCAACACUCUCCUAUAUUUCCCUUUUGUUAUUCUUCUCCAUCAUUCCAUGUCUCCCACUUCUUUGUCAUUUUUUUCAUUUUAUUCUCCCUUUUUCCAGCUGCAAAGCAGCUUCUUCUUUUUAUUUUUUAUUCUUUCCGUUUUCUCCCUCCUUUCACGCCUGCCUUCUUUCCCUCUCCCAAUUAUCCUGCUGUCCUCAUUAUUAUUUUUCCUUCUUUUUGUUCUCUUUUUGCUGAUCUCUCUUAGCUUUCUUUUUCUUCUCCUAGAAACACAAUAAAUCAAAAGUAUCAUAAAUACUUAAAACUUCCAACUAAAUUAGACAAGAAAAGAAAUAUAAAAGGAUGAAAUAUAUAGUUUAAAUAUUGGUUUAUCAUUUAUCGUCACAAUGGAUUAGCAAUAUUGUAAUUUAAAUUUGCUUUUGACGAAUUUAUUACAUAAAAUUUCACUUGUUCUAUUUUUAUUUUCUUUGCAUAACAAAUCCUAUAAACACAAAAAUAACGUAAAUAACUCAAAAAUAUAAGGAACUAACUAAGAAAAGACGAGUGAAUUCGAAGUAAAAAUAUAUAUAAAUAUGAU